CCUACGGGAGGCAGCAGUGAGGAAUAUUGGUCAAUGGCCGGAAGGCUGAACCAGCCAUGCCGCGUGAAGGUCAGUGCCCUAUGGGCGUUAAACUUCUUUUGUGCGGGAGCAAUACUGGUCACGUGUGGCCAGACGAGAGUACCGUACGAAUAAGAAUCGGCUAACUCCGUGCCAGCAGCCGCGGUAAUACGGGGGAUGCAAGCGUUAUCCGGAUUUAUUGGGUUUAAAGGGUGCGUAGGCGGGGAGGUAAGUCAGCGGUGAAAUGCCCCCGCUCAACGGGGUGAAGUGCCAUUGAUACUGGCAUGCUGGAAUGCGGAUGAGGUGGGAGGAAUGUGUGGUGUAGCGGUGAAAUGCAUAGAUAUC
rnacentral:rRNA from 1 species